AUCUUGCUGACAAGUCCCAAACAGGACAAAAUGCGCAUCCUGGAU
rnacentral:hammerhead_ribozyme from 1 species